rnacentral:rRNA from 1 species
UACGGGGGGGGGCAAGCGUUUGUUCGGAAUUACUGGGCGUAAAGGGCUUGUAGGUGGCCAACUAAGUCAGACGUGAAAUCCCUCGGCUUAACCGGGGAACUGCGUCUGAUACUGGAUGGCUAGAGUGUGGGAGAGGGAUGCGGAAUUCCAGGUGUAGCGGUGAAAUGCGUAGAUAUCUGGAGGAACACCGGUGGCGAAGGCGGCAUCCUGGACCACGACUGACACUGAAAAGCGAAAGCCAGGGGAGCAAACGGG